GGCACCUGUCAAUUCUGCGUCUGCAAUCAGCAACGAUGUAUCGCGUGGUGAUCAAGAUGGCGGUUCUGGCCUGUGUUGUAAUGGCGUGCGGUUUUCUGACGGCGGUGGAAGCGGCGCCCGCACUUGGAGAGUCCAUGGCCACUGCCGAGACGUUCAGCUUCGCCCACGACUUCGGGUUCGGUCCCUGGGGGGCCUUCGGCUCUUUCAAAGGAGGUUUGCUGCCGCCGUUCUUUUACUACCCACACCGGUUCUUCUGAUUUCAAGACGGCCCGUCCUCUAUAUUGAGCUGCUGCUUCACUUUCCAUGCAUUUCAUUUCUUCUGUGUCACGUCGCUCUGUUGUUGUUACCAAAAUACAAAUAAAUUAUUUUGUAGAUAUGA